GACGGGAGGGGCAAGUGUUCUUCGGAAUGACUGGGCUUAAAGGGCACGUAGGCGGUGAAUCGGGUUGAAAGUGAAAGUCGCCAAAAAGUGGCGGAAUGCUCUCGAAACCAAUUCACUUGAGUGAGACAGAGGAGAGUGGAAUUUCGUGUGUAGGGGUGAAAUCCGUAAAUAUACGAAGGAACGCCAAAAGCGAAGGCAGCUCUCUGGGUCCCUACCGACGCUGGGGUGCGAAAGCAUGGGGAGCGAACAGG
rnacentral:rRNA from 1 species